rnacentral:piRNA from 1 species
UGAGAACAGUCUGCGUUUAACAAGGAGC